GGCCGAUGACGAGCCACCGGGCCGAGCCGGCUGGCAUCCGGCCGUGACGAUCCCUGUGAGUGUCGACUGGCU
rnacentral:snoRNA from 1 species